GGGAUAUUGCACAAUGGGCGAAAGCCUGAUGCAGCGACGCCGCGUGAGGGAAGAAGGUCUUCGGAUUGUAAACCUUUGUCCUAUGGGAAGAUAAUGACGGUACCAUGGGAGGAAGCCACGGCUAACUACGUGCCAGCAGCCGCGGUAAUACGUAGGUGGCAAGCGUUGUCCGGAUUUACUGGGUGUAAAGGGUGCGUAGGCGGGGCAGCAAGUUGGAUGUGAAAUCCUCGGGCUCAACUCGAGAACUGCAUUCAAAACUGUUGCUCUUGAGUGCAGUAGAGGCAAGCGGAAUUCCCGGUGUAGCGGUGAAAUGCGCAGAGAUCGGGAGGAACACCAGUGGCGAAGGCGGCUUGCUGGGCUGUUACUGACGCUGAGGCACGAAAGCAUGGGUAGCAAACA
rnacentral:rRNA from 1 species